ensembl:snRNA U6 U6 spliceosomal RNA
GUGCUUGCUUCAGCAGCACAGAUACUAGAAUUGGAAUGAUACAGAAAAGAUUAGCAUGGCCCCUGCAUAAGUAUGACAUGUAAAUUCAUGAAGUGUUCCAUAUUUUA